CUCACAUUUACAGCUACUCAACAUCUUUAGCUCUGUAUUUUGUGUUCAUUGUCUAAUAUAUAUUGAUAUCCAAUCUUUCAUGCUUACUGAAGUAUAUAUUCCAUGGAUUGCAACUGGCAUGCAAGAGCCCGAGACUAAGAUUUGUGUGAGUAUGUUGGAUUCAUUGAAUGAAUGUAUACAGAGAACUCAGGAAUCAGGCUUCUACUUUGAAUAUCUUCCCAUGCAUGUAGAGCCACCUGUCUAUGUUUGUUAUGAGAAGUAUCAUUUACUUGUCUCUGUGUCUGUUUGAACAGAUUGGCUAGCAUUGACCUGGAACCUUUUGAAACUGAGGUCAGCAACCUUCUCAUGUUUUUUUGUUCCUACUUUUCCUUCUGAAUGGGAUUUUGCUGACAUCUACUUCAGAGGUGUAUGGUGAUCCUCUUGAAUAUCCCUAAAAGGAGGAGUAUUGGGGAAAUGUUAACCCAAUUGGAGUUAGGAGUUGCUAUGAUGAAGGGAAGCAUGUAGCAGAGACUCUGAUGUUUGAUUAUCAUAGGCAAUAUGGCAUAGAAAUCCGCAUUGCUAGGAUUUUCAAUACUUAUGGGCCACGCAUGAAUAUUGAUGAUGGUCGAGUUGUCAACAAUUUCAUAGCUCAAGCACUUCAGUAUUCCUAAUUCUUUCCUUUUUCCUUGAGAUACAUCAUUCAAUGCAUCCACCAAGCCAUUACAAUAAUUAAUUGGUCUGGAGAGGGUUUUGCAUGUGUAAGGGCCUCAAUAACAAGUAUGAAAAGCCCCAUCCAACUUUGUUAACAUUGCUGAGCCGGAUAUUUUGCUGGUGGGACUGGCCCAGCAGUGAGCCUGAUCCUUAGCUUAUGGGCUGGGUUGGCCUAGACCCAUGUCUUUGCUCAUGGGCAGGAUUCUAACAUACAUUCAGCAUAUACUGGCCCAUCUGCAACCUUUAUUGUUACUGUUUUCACAACUUUGAGAAAAAUCAAAGCAUGGGUUUUGUAACACAACCAGCUUAGUAUCUGAGUUCGUGCGCUGUUCUCCUAGCAGAGAGCUAGACCAAGCAUAUUACCAACAAAUUCGGGUGUGGGAGUGGGAAAGUAUAUGUUUCAAAAUAGUUUCAAAUAUAAACUAGUGGGAUGCAGAAGCAUGACUCAAAACAGGAGAGGCGCCUAGAGGCGCCUAGUUGGAAGGAUGGUGCACCUAAGGUCUUACCAUCAGACUUUAUGCAGGGGUGAAUCCUUGACGGUCCAAGCUCCAGCAACACAAACCCGAAGUUUCUGUUAUGUUUCUGACAUGGUAUGUUGUAGAUGUUUUCUUUGUCACAGAGGAAUGAGAGCACUAAUCCAAUAGUGCACGUACGCAUUCCUUCAUAUGUAUGCAACAGACUUCAGCUUGUGUCUGUCAUCUGGUUGACAUUUUGCAAUUAAGUUCAACUACACUUCUAUCACUUGAAUUCAGGGGGUUGAGGACCAAUUCCUAAAGUUA